rnacentral:lncRNA from 1 species
CAAACCCAGUACGAAUUCAAAACCACAUUCGUUUUCCAACACUUGCUCCCACCAAGUCAAACCCAGUAUGAAUUCUUGUCUGAUUACCUUUUCACGCCAGCAGCAACUCAAGUUCUUUGCAAAAACAGCUCAAGCUCAAGCAGCUCAAGUUACCAGCAGCAGCUCACAACAGCAGUCAGAUGGCAGCAGGGGAGCACCGUGACAGCAGCAACAGUUGAUAGUAGGUGAUAGCGGUAGGUGACAGUGGUAGCGAGGAUGAGAGUCGGCGAUGAGCAGCGGUGGCAAAUCGGAUUCGUGAAGGAUAAGCAGCAGCAGCAGCGGGGACGAGAUUCCAGCGGUGAAGGGGUUGCGGCUCCGGUUUUUGGCUGAAGAGGGAAGUCUGUGAAGAUUAGAAGAUGAGAAGAAUCAAGAAUGUGUUAAAUUAGGGAUUGUGUAAAAUUCAAUUUGCGUUCGGUACUUCAGUUUUUUCCUGUGGUCGGUUCAGUUUUUUGGUUUAAAAAAAAAAAGGGAAAAUCGAACCGACUGAUUUUACUAUUUAUGUUAAAUUAUUAUUUUGAUUUUUUGGAUGUAAAAAAACUCUAAAAAAACCAAACAAACGGUUCG